ACUCCUACGGGAGGCAGCAGUAAGGAAUAUUGGGCAAUGGAGGCAACUCUGACCCAGCCAUCCCGCGUGCAGGAUGACUGCCCUAUGGGUUGUAAACUGCUUUUACAAGGGAAGAAACAGGUUUAUUUAUAAGCCUCUGACGGUACCUUGGGAAUAAGCACCGGCUAACUCCGUGCCAGCAGCCGCGGUAA
rnacentral:rRNA from 1 species